GUAUAAAUAGUAUAAAAUAUUACAUUUAAUUUCCAAUUAAAAAAUUUAUAAUAAAAUAAUUUAUCCA
rnacentral:tRNA from 1 species